rnacentral:lncRNA from 1 species
AGUGAAUCUUCUCUCCUAUGGUUUCUGUAAUAAGUUAUAUUUGGUGCCUCACAAAUGGCUUUCUUCUACUUUUGUGAGGUCACGAUCAAGCUGUCAGUAGGACCGAUUCCUUGGAGAAACUCUGGAAAUAGUGAGUGCCUUCUGCUUCCCCAGUUCCCAGAAGCCCUCUGCAACCCUUAGCUUGUGGCCCCUUUGAUCUUCAAUAUCAGCAAUUACCAGUCAAGUCUUUUUCACGCUGCGUCCUUUGACCUCUUCUCUUGCUUCUAUCUUUCACUUUCAAGCACAUUUGUGAUGAUUUGGGGCUUACCUGGACAAUCUACAGUUAUGUUUUCUGGGAAACAUAACACAGUCACGACUUUUAGGUGGUGUCUGUGCCUGUCGCAGGCAGUUGGACUGACAAAAUAUGAACCGUGCUCAGAUGCCAAGAGCACACAGUGGCUGUGCAAUGAGGGAGCCCGAGGAUGGCCACUGAUGGCAGGCAUUUCGGAACCCUUCUCCAAAGCUCUAGAGCUCUAGACCAAUGAUUCUCAACCUUCUUUUUUAAUGUGCAUUGGUAUUUUGCCUACAUGUAUGUCUGUAUGAAAGUUUCAGAUCUUGGAUUACAGACAUCUGUGAGCUGCCAUGUGGGUGCUGGGAAUUGAACCUGGAUCCUCUGGAAAAGCAGCUAGAUGCUCUUAACUGCUGAGCCAUCUCUCCAGCCCCCGGUUCUCAACAUUCUUAAUGCUGAGACCUUUAAUAUAUUUCUCAUGUUGUAGUGACUCCCAACGAUAAAAUUAUUUUUGUUACUACUGUUAUGAAUUGUAAUAUCUGUUUUUUUUUAUAGUCUCAGGUGAUCCCUGUGAAAGGCAACCCACUGACUGAGAAGCCCUGCCCUAGUGGUCAGCUGGCAUCCCUGAGUAAGAGCUAGCUCCUCUGAGGGGGUCUAGCUCCUCAUUCGCAGGGCCUGCUUUCAAGUGCUAGGAAUUACUAAGAUCUAAAGACUUGGGAUGCAGAUAUUGGUGAGAGGUGCUAUUCUGCAUGCCAUGAGGUAUUGCUGAGAGAAGGAGGAAGAAAAAGAAUAGGAGGAAAGAAAUUACACCGAGUCACUCUCAUCUGAAGUCUGAUUGCACCCAGGAUAAAAGACCUUCUCGGACAAUUACCGGAUGGUCUGGGAGAGGGAGCCAAAGGGCAGGGACUGCUAGAUGGCUCUAGAAGCCAUUUAGAGAUUUGCACAUUGCUGCUAUCCUAAAUCCUACUUCCUCAGUUAGGACACGGGCAAACAGAAGUGCACCUGCAGACUGGCCUUUGCCAAGUAGAGAAGCCUCAGGUGUUAUAACUGAGGACUAGUAUGUGCAGACUCCAAGCAAGGAAGAUCAUUUUUCAUCACUGGCCAUCGCAGAGGCCAGCGGGCAGGGCUGCUGUGAGGACCCUGACAUGCCCAGGUGUAUGCCCUAGCCUGCCAUCAUUCGGACAGGCUAGACGAUGAUGCAGUAUAAGGGAGGAGUGAUUUACUCUGGCUCACAGUUUCAGACCUUUCAGCCCGAAACCAUGUGGCCCCAUUGCUUUUUACCUGAGGUGGGGUAGACUACCAUGGUGACAAGGACAUAUGACAGAGCAGUGGAAAGACAAGGGACCAGAGACAGAGGCAUAUCCCAAGUGACCUGCUUCCUCUAGCCAGAUCUGGUCUAAGAUUUCCUCCACUUAUCAAAUUAGGAAUUUGUGACUUCAUCCCCCAGUCACAUCAGAGUUCUCCAAGUCUAAUGAGCACUCGGUGACUGGAUCCAUGAGCUGAGGACUAAACUCCAACACUCAUGCCUUUUCACAGAGGGGCUGCCAUCAAGCCUGUACUUCCUGCUGAUAAGUUAAUCUACACAGAAUACUCUCAUCUCACCUUGCAGCACUGAGGAGAAGAGGAAAGGACCAGAGGAGGCAGCAAGCAGCCCUUUUUAGGGCAUGGCCUAGAAUGGACUCUUUCAGCUUUGGCACUGAUGACACUUGUGCCAAGCAACUCUUUUGUGUAAGGGGCUGUUUUGUACAGCAUAGCUUGUGCCACGCCUCUAGAAUCCACCUUCUAGAUAACAGGAAUCACAGCUUCUGGAAGUGACCGUGAAGAACGUCUCCAGACUUUGUCAAAUGCUCUGGGAAGCAAAGUCGCAUGCAGUUAAGUGGAUAUAGGAGAGAGCAUGCUAUUCUGGUACCCUCCUCUUGCUCAGAACUUAGGAAACGGUCACUCCUCUAAAGUGUAAGCAGGGGUUCUAUCAGUAAGGAAGUGGCUGACACGUGGCUUCAGCUGGUGGUCUCUGGGAGACUAACAGCUUCCGAGCCUCUGCUUAGUGUCCGAGUCACGCUCCUGAACACAUGGGAUGUGCUGUGAGGAUGGUCGCUAGUGAGAGGAGUUUCUGAACCUGUCUCCAGAGUCCUAGCUGGUCAGUUGGCAUCCCUGAGGCAACGCUAUCUGAGGAGUUGGCCCUUUAACCACUGGACUUGCUUCCCAAUGCUGGGGGAGUCAAAGACAUUUCCUGGAGCCACAGGCUUCCCAGUUCUAUGUCACACUGAAUGCGAACUUUGGCUUUAACUUCUGGCUCUGUCUUACAUGCGUCCAGAGUGACUUUGCUUCUCCCAUAGUGGGUUUCAAAGGCGAACAGUAUUGGCUUUUAUUUUGACCAUGAGUUAGCUCUGUGGUUCUUUGUCAUCCUGCUUUCCUCGUCUGUAAAGUUAGGGCAGGGUCCGCUUUCACUCAGGGUUGUUGGGGGAAUUAAGUGAGAUGAUGUGGAAGAGAGACUUGUGCUCAUUCUUCAGACUUCAACACCUAAGGGCCUGGCAAAUUGAUACUCAGGUUUAAGCACUGGAGUCUGGGUCUCCAGGGUUAACAUGAGUGCUUCGUAGGCAUGGCAGCCUACUUGAAAUCCGGGAACUGUGGGAUUUGAUGAGGAUGGGGAACGCCAAGGGAAACAGGGUACUCAGAGCACGCUGGUCAACAAGCCAACAGAACAGUGGCCUCUGUGCCCAGUAAACACGCUGGUGAGCAGCAGUGAAGUAUGACACCUAAGAUCAACUUCUGUCCUGCAUGUGUGUGUGCACAUACACAUAUCCAUAUUUCACACACACCCCCAUACAUAUGCAUACAUGGGAAAAGAAGGAGAAAGAAGACUGACUAGCAGCCGCAUGUCGAGGAGAGCAGGAUCUUAUCUUCGCAGUGUUUCCCUGUGGUAUUUACUGCCCUUGUUAUGGUCGUUGAUUCUAGAACUUGCCAGCCAGUGGGUAGAUGAGGCUGAACCAAUACAUACUGGGUCUGCAUGUGGAAGAAUGAGGCUUGCAGCCAACGGCCGUCCACAUCUCUGAUGAGGAUCAGAGCACAUGGAAAUUGAAGCCAUGUGGGACUUAACAAGAGAUCAAAUGGUAUCUUAAACAUCCCAGGGCAGCUGCCCUGUCCCCAGAGCCUGGGGCGGCCUCUGUGAAGGGGCCCCUCUUUCCUGGUGUUCUGGGUCCCUCUCCUCCCAGCUCCACUGCAGCAUCCAGAUUUCUCGAAGUGGCUGAUGUGUGUCUCAUGAUGAGUACUGAACAUCAUAAAAGGAGAAGUGACAAGCAAGCCCGAGUCUAGAGAGUAAGAGAAGCCACAGGCUAAGAAGUGGGACCAUGGCUUAGAAGACCAGAACAGAAGAAAAAGCAAGAGAUGAACAUUCUGGCAAAAACCAGACUACAGAUUUACAUUUUUUCUUUAUUAUUUUAUUAGAUAUUACCUUUAUUUUUAUUAUCUUUUUAAAUUAUUUUUAUUAUUUUAUUAUCUUUCAUUAUUUUUAUUAAAAUUCUUAUCACUUUAUUUUCUUUAUUCUUUUUUCUUUACUCUCAGUACUUCAUUCAGCAUCACCAUAUUUAAUGUUUCCUUACAACUGGGUCUUUUCUAUGGUUGUCCUUGGAUACACCCUUGUUGGUGGCAGAACCCUGUGGUUAGUUCUGGCCAAUGACUGAUGUGUGGAAGUGAUGUGUCUGGGCUGAUGUAUUGAAUGGCCUCUGGGAAGCAAGCAGUUGACAGGGUGACAGACAAAUGCUUGAAACAGCUUAUGCAGUGGAGGUUUCCUUCAGAGGACAAUUGCCCUGGGGACAUCUCUUGAUCAGGAUCUGACUUUGCCUGGAUAAAUACAAUAAAGCUUUGUUUUAAUCUUCUGACACUUGGGGUUCUUAUUAUUGCAGUACAAUGAAGCAUAUGUUGCCUGGCAGAACCCGUGACAGGA